CCCCUCUCAUGGUCGCACCUGGAGAGUUUCCGGUACCCUACCAGUCACGACUACAGGAGGGGGAGUCAAGCAGAGGCCUAUCCAUUCCAUGCCUAGUUUGGGCAGUGGCUAGUGAGUGGAAGGCAAUCUGCAACAAGU
rnacentral:snoRNA from 1 species